rnacentral:rRNA from 1 species
ACGAACGCUGGCGGCAUGCCUAACCCAUGCAAGUCGCACGAGACCUUCGGGUCUAGUGGCGCACGGGUGCGUCACGCGUGGGAACCUGCCCUUAGGUUCGGAAUAACUCCCCGAAAGGGGUGGUAAUACCGGAUAAUGUCUUCGGACCAAAGAUUUAUCGCCUUUGGAUGGGCCCGCGUUGGAUUAGCUAGUUGGUAGGGUAAAAGCCUACCAAGGCGACGAUCCAUAGCUGGUCUGAGAGGAUGAUCAGCCACACUGGGACUGAGACACGGCCCAGACUCCUACGGGAGGCAGCAGUGGGGAAUAUUGGACAAUGGGCGAAAGCCUGAUCCAGCAAUGCCGCGUGAGUGAUGAAGGCCUUAGGGUUGUAAAGCUCUUUUACCCGGGAUGAUAAUGACAGUACCGGGAGAAUAAGCUCCGGCUAACUCCGUG